UUCCAGGUUGUCCAGUGGUUAGGACUUGGCACUCUCACUGCCCGAGCCUGGGUUCAAGCCCUGGUCAGGGAA
rnacentral:tRNA from 1 species